rnacentral:lncRNA from 1 species
AUUUAUAGGAAUUUUUGGCGGUGGAAUUGCGUCAGUUGGGCCCACGAGGAGGUCACAAGCCUGCGUGCCACCACCGGGGGGUGGCGGAGUGAGGGCUUGGGACUCCCUCGUGGCCCAUCUGGCCUUCUCCCAAAGCUUCGGGGGUCUCUUUUGGUCCCAAAAAAAUCAUCGUAAAGUUUCAUUCCAUUUGGACUCUGUCUGAAAAUGGGCCAAAAACACGAAAAAAAAUAGAAACUCGCACUUGGCACUGAGUUAAUAGGUUAGUCCCAAAAAAGAUAUAAAAUCAAAAAUUAUAGAUACGUUGGAGACGUAUCAAGCAUCCCCAAGCUUAACUCCUGCUCGUCUUCGAGUAGGGAAGUGAUAAAGAAUGAAUUUUUGAUGUUGCAUGCUACCUAGCAUAGUUGUCCUUUGUAACUUCUCCACGUGACAUGAAUGUUCAGAUCCGUUAGAUUCAAAACAAUAGUUUGCUAUUGACGUGGAAACAAUAAUAAUUCAAGCAAACUAGCAACGUAAUCAUGAACUUUCAAAAUAACAAGGCCAAAAGAAAGUUGUCCCUACAAAAUCAUAUAGUAUGGCUAUGCUCUAUCAUCAUUGCACAACGAAUUUAAAUCAUGCACAACCCCGGUAUUGGCCAAGUAAUUGUUUCACACCUUUACUUUCUCAAACCUUUUCAACUCUCACGCAAUACAAGAGCGUGAGCCAUGGUUUUAGCACUAUAAGUGGUGUGGAGUGUGGUGGAGGUUGCAAGACAAAAAAGGAGAAGAUGAUCACAUUAACUAGGCAUAUCAAUAAGCUGUGGAGAUGCUCAUCAAUAGAUAUCAAUGUGAAUGAGUAGGGAUUGCCAUACAAAUGAUGCACUAGAGCUAGGAGUAUGUGAAAGCUCUUAAAGAAAACUAGUGGGUGUGCAUCCAACUUGCUUGCUCACGAAGACCUAAGGCAAUUUUGAGGAAGCCCAUCAUAGGAAUAUACAAGCCAAGUUAUAUAAUGAAAAUUUCCCACUAGCUAUAUGGUGGUGACAAAAACGAGAGACUCUCAAUCAUGAAGAACAUGGUGCUUAAUAUGCACAAGUGUGGAAAGGUGGUAGCAUUGUCCCUUCUCUCUUUUUCUCUCAUAUUUUUUGGGUGGGCUCUUUGGCCUCUAUUUUUUCGUGGGCAUCUUUGGCCUCUUUUAAUUCCUCACAUGGGACAAUGCUCCAUCAAUGAUGAUCAUCGCACUUUCAACUCAACACUUAGAGCAACGAUGACUCUAUAUGGAAUGCCUUCGGUAGUGUACCGUGACAAUGAUCUAGCAUGGCAUAGACAUUAAUGGAAACAUCAUGCUAGCUAUCUUACGAUCAUGCAAUGGCAAUGUAGACGUGGUGGCACAUGUCAUGGUGGUAGUUGCAUGGCAAUAUAUCUCGGAAUGACUUUGAAAAAGCCAUAGUAGGUAGGUAUGGUGGCUGUUUUGAGGGAGGCUAAUGGUGGGUUUUGUGCACCGUCGAAAGUUGCACGACACUAAAAAGAUAGUGAUGGUGGGAGGUGAAAGUGCAUCUAUUCCAUGGACUCAACAUUAGUCAUGAAUAAAUCAUAUACUUGUUGCAAAAGUUUUAUUAGUAAUCAAAACAAAGCAUUCAACGCAUACUCCUAGGGGAAGGGUUGGUAGGUAUAAACCAUCACGCGAUCCCGACCGCCACGCAAAGGAUGACAAUCAAAAGACUAAUGAUGCUCAGAUUUCAUCACAUAGCGCUUCACCAUGCAUGCAUGCUAUGGGAAUCACUAACUUCAACACAAGUAUUUCUAGAUCCACAACACCUUACUAGCAUGACUUCAAUAUUACCAAAACCACAACUCAAAACUAAUUGAGAUGAAUCAAACUUCUCUAACUAUUCAAUGCACAUGAAGGUGGAAGUUUUCGUAUCCCUUUGGAUAACUACCCCUUUUGAGACUACUUUAAAAUCAUAGAUCAACUACCAAGCCACGCACCACUGCGCUCUAAAAGAUAUAAGUGAAGGACAUAGAGCAAAAGUAUUUAGCUCAAAAGAUAUAAGUGAAGCACAUGUGAGCUGAAUUGUCUACCAAAAGAUAUAAGUGAAGCUCGACAAAAUCACGGUGAGUGCAUGUCUCUCUCUCUAGGUGUGCAACAAGGAAGAUUGUGACACAACAAAAAUAAAAGACUCCUACAAUACAAGACGCUCCAAGCAAAACACAUAUCAUGUGGUGAAUAAAAAUAUAGCCCCAAGUAACGUUAACGAUGGAUUGAAGACGAGAGAGGGGAUGCCUUCCCGGGGCAUCCCCAAGCUUAGGCUUUUACGGCAUCCUUGAAUCUCUUGGGGUGCCUUGGGAAUCCGCAAGCUUGAGAUCUUGCCACUCUUUAUCUCUUUGUCCAUAAGAACUUCAGCCAAAACUUGAAAACUUCACAACACGAAACUUAAACAGAAACUCGUGAUAACAUUAGUAUGAGAAAGCAAACCACCACUUCCUUAGGUACUGUAGCAAACUUAAAUUCUACUUAUGCUGAUGUUGGGUUACUGUAUUUUCAAUCUUCCAUGGCUAAUACCCUCCGAUACUAUCCAUAGUUUCAUCAAAAUAAGCAACCAACAUAACAAAAACAGAAUCUGUUAAUAGCAGACCAGUCUAUAGCAAUCUGUAUAUUUCGUAUACCUCUGGUACUUCAAAAAUUCUGAAAAAUUACGACAGUCUGAAUAAAUUGCAUAGAAAUCAGCAGCAAAAAUAAUCAACUCAAAAUCUCUUACAUAAAAAAAUGAAAGUUCUUUUCGUGAGCAGAAAGUUUCUGUCUUUCCCAGCAUGACCAAACGAUCAUCCCCAAGACUAAUCAUAACGGUUUUGCUUGGCACAAACGCAAAAAUAAACACAAAAGACACAAUCAUAAUAGAAUUAUGAUGGUGUGGAGAAAACCAAACAGGAAGCAAAAAAGCAAAGAAAAAUUUAUUCAUUGGGUUGCCUCCCAACAAGAGCUAUCGUUUAACACCCUUAGCUAGGCAUUGAUUUCAAUGAUGCUCACAUAAAAGGUAAGGAUUGAAACACAACAAGAGCAUCAUGGAGCAAAUGGCUAGCACAUUUAAGUCUAACCCACUUCAUAUGCAUAGGGAUUUUGUGAUCAAACAAUUUAUUGGAGCAAGAAUCAACUAGCAUAGGAAGGCAAAACAAGCAUAGCUUCCAAAAUUUCAACAUAUGGAGAGGAAGCUUGAUACUAUUGCAAUAAGUAGAAGAAUGUGAUCCUCUCUCAUAGUAAUUUUCGGUAGCAUCAUGAAUGAAUUCAACAAUAUAACCACCACCUAAAGCAUUCUUUUCAUGAUCUACAAGCAUAGAAAUUUUACUACUCUCCACAUAAGGAAAUCUAUUCUCAAGAGUAGUAGUGGGAGUAUCGUAAAAGACUUGAGCACUACAAAUUGUAUCCACAAUGAAAAAGCAAGGUUUAGCAAAAGGGUUCUCGAGAGUAUGACAAGUUUUAUCAUCCCUCUUCUUUAAAGCAUAAGUAUCCUCACAAUAAUCAUCAUAGAUAGGGGACAUGCUUUCAUCAAAAUAAUUUUGAUCAUUCAAAGUGGAAGAACUAAAAAGAUCAUCUUCGUCAAAUAUAGCAUCCCCAAGCUUGUGGCUUUGCAUAUCAUUAGCAUCAUGGGUAUUCAAAGAGUUCAUGCUAAUAACAUUGCAAUCAUGCUCAUCAUUCACGUAUUCUAUGCCAAGCAUUCUAUGUAAUUCUUCUUUCGGCACUUGAGCACAAUUUUCCUCCCCAUCAUGCUCACGAAAGACACUGAAAAGAUGGAGCAUAUGAGGCAUCCUCAAUUCCUUUUUUUGUAGUUUUCUAGCGAAAGAACAAGAAACAAAAAAGAUUCGAUUGCAAGAUCUAAAGAUAUACCUUCAAGCGCUAACCUCCCCGGCAACAGCGCCAAAAAGAGCUUGAUGUCUACUACGCAACCUUCUCCUUGUAGACAUUGUUGGGCCUCCAAGUGCAGAGGGUUGUAGGACAGUAGCAAUUUUCCCUCAAGUGGGUGACCUAAGGUUUAUCAAUCCGCGCGAGGCGUAGGAUGAAGAUGGUCUCUCUCAAGCAACCCUGCAACCAAAUAACAAAGAGUCUCUUGUGUCCCCAACACACCUAAUACAAUGGUAAGUUGUAUAGGUGCAUUAGUUCGGCGAAGAGAUGGUGAUACAAGUGCAAUAAGGAUGGUAGAUAUAGGUUUUUGUAAUCUGAAAUUACAAAAACAGCAAGGUAACAAAUGGUAAAAGUGAGCACGAACGGUGUUGCAAUGCGUGGAAACAAGGCCUAGGAUUCAUACUUUCACUAGUGAAGUUCUCUCAACAAUGAUAACAUAAUUGGAUCAUAUAACUAGCCCUCAACAUGUAACAAAGAGUCACUCCAAAGUCACUAAUAGCAGGGAACAAACGAAGAGAUUAUUGUCGGGUACGAAACCACCACAAAGUUAUUCUUUCUGAUCGAUCUAUUCAAGAGUCUGUAGUAAAAUAACACGAAGCUAUUCUUUCCGUUCGAUCCAUCAUAGAGUUCGUACUAGAAUAACACCUUAAGAUACAUAUCAACCAAGACCCUAAUGUCACCUAGAUACUCCAUUGUCACCUCAAGUAUCCGUGGGCAUGAUUAUACAAUAUCCAUCACAUAAUCUCAGAACAUGUAUUCAACCAACACAUAGAACUUCAAAGAGUGCCCCAAAAUUUCUACCAGAGAGUCAAACGUGUGCCAACCCGUGUGCAUAGGUUCCCAAUGUCACGAACCCGCAAGUUGAUCACCAAAACAUACAUCAAGUACUCACAUGAAUCCAACGUGUGCCAACCCAUAAGCAUAGGUUCCCAAUGUCACAAACCCGCAAGUUGAUCACAACAGAUAGACACGUGCAAGACAUACAUCAAGUGUCCUCAAAGUCUCAAUCCGAUAAGAUAACUCCAAAGGGGAAACUCAAUUCAUUACAAGAGGGAGAGGGGGAAGAAUAUCAUAAAAUCCAACUAUAGUAGCAAAGCCCAUGGUACAUCGAGAUCAAGACAUCUCAAGAACACAAGAGAGAGAUCAAACACAUAGCUACUAGUACAUACCCUCAGCCCCGAGGGAGAACUACUCCCUCCUCGUCAUGGAGAUCGCCGAGAUGAUGAAGAUGGCCACCGGAGAUGGAUUCCCCCUCCGGCAGGGUGCCAGAACAGGCUCCAGAUUGGUUUUUGGUGGCUACAGACGCUUGCGGCGGCGGAACUCCCGAUCUAGGUUUCUUUCUUGGGGUUUCUGAAUUUAUAGGAUUUUUUUGUGGUGGAAUUGCGUUAGUUGGGCCCACGAGGAGGUCACAAGCCUGUGCGCCACCACCGGGGGGGUGGUGGCGGAGUGAGGGCUUGUGACUCCCUCGUGGCCCAUAUGGCCUUCUCCCAAAGCUUCGGGGGUCUCUUUUGGUCCAAAAAAAUCAUCGUAAAGUUUCAUUCCAUUUGGACUUCGUCUGAAAAUGGGCCAAAAACACGAAAAAAACAGAAACUGGCACUUGGCACUGAGUUAAUAGGUUAGUCCCAAAAAAGAUAUAAAAUAUCGUAUUCAUGCAUAUAAAACAUCCAAAGUUGACAAGAUAAUAGCAUGGAACCAUAAAAAAUUAUAGAUACGUUGGAGACGUAUCACUAGGCAGCUGCUAUUUUGGAGUUGAUGCUCUAAGCUCACUCACACACACAUACUUAUCCCUCAGACCAAGAUCAAGGCUACUAGUCAGCCCAGCACUGGAGCAUCGGGAAGGCCGAUGCACAAUGUGUAGGUCAAGCUAUAGGAGGAGUAUUUGCUGAAGAAGGAGAUAGUUGGACCCUGAGAUCAAGGUAAUAUCCAUCUCCUAAGGAUCUUGUGGCUCAAACCUACGCUAAUAUUAUCCUGGUGGAUCCAACAACGGCAUCAAAGGCACUAGCAUCAAGUUUGAGCCCUAUCUAGCUCAAAUUCAUGUUUGGCUUAUUAUGAUUAAGUUGAAGAUCAAGUAGCCCUUCCAGUUCUUGCUUGAUCCAUUAAGUUUAUGGUUAGAUUCAUGUUGUUCCUCAUGUUCAAGCAUGGCUUGAAUUUAUUUAAGACCUUUAAGGAACAUAUCAGUAUUGAUUUGUUGUACUUAAGUUGUGUUUAUGGUAUAUAUCAAGCAGUUAUUCUUGUCCAUGCUUGAUCUAAUUAUUUAGCCCUAAAGUAAUUAAAGUUCUAGCCCUAACAGAUCAAGUGAGUAUCAAGGGUCUCAUUUAAUGAUGAUUCAAAGUGGGGAAUAAUGCAUUUACUCAAAAUCCCCAAAUCCCGAAAUCCUAAAUUACGAAAUCCCCAAAAAAAUUAUGAACCCUAGCCCAAAAUCUAACGAACUAUAGGCUAUGUGUGCUCACUUGAAGGGUUUUCGUUGUCAUAUGCAUGUUGUGGCGACACCGGGUCCACCAAUUGAUGCCGCUCACCGUCGCUACUGUGCAGGGAUGCAUGCGCGCGCGGCUCUGGUGCGGGAACGCGGCAAGCACCGCUCGACGGGGCCUCGCGCGGACUGGAGCCGCACGGGACUCCGGCGAAAGGAGCUCACCGGCGUCAGCGCCCUCCUCUCUUGCGGUUGGUGACGCCGCCGCGUCGCUCUCUCGUCCUCGCGAUGUGGGAGCAGAAGGGGAGGGAGGCUAAUGGGGAUAAGGUUAGGGGAUGCUGGGCUUCGUGGUUGGCUUUCGGCCAAGCCAGCGCCAGCCGGGCCGGCAAGCCGUCUCGGCCCA